rnacentral:rRNA from 1 species
AUUGAACGCUGGCGGCAUGCCUUACACAUGCAAGUCGAACGGUAACAGGUCUUCGGAUGCUGACGAGUGGCGAACGGGUGAGUAAUACAUCGGAACGUGCCUAGUAGUGGGGGAUAACUACUCGAAAGAGUGGCUAAUACCGCAUGAGAUCUACGGAUGAAAGCAGGGGAUCGCAAGACCUUGUGCUACUAGAGCGGCCGAUGGCAGAUUAGGUAGUUGGUGGGAUAAAAGCUUACCAAGCCGACGAUCUGUAGCUGGUCUGAGAGGACGAUCAGCCACAUUGGGACUGAGACACGGCCCAGACUCCUACGGGAGGCAGCAGUGGGGAAUUUUGGACAAUGGGCGAAAGCCUGAUCCAGCAAUGCCGCGUGCAGGAUGAGGGCCUUCGGGUUGUAAACUGCUUUUGUACGGAACGAAAAGCCCCGGGUUAAUACCCUGGGGUCAUGACGGUACCGUAAGAAUAAGCACCGGCUAACUACGUGCCAGCAGCCGCGGUAA